CGAGUCAGCCGGAUAAUCGCUGCCUGUGACGAAAAUGAUCAGGGGGAGGAAAGUCCGGGCUCCACAGGGCAGGGUGCCAGUUAACGGCUGGGAGGCGAAAGCCUACGACAAGUGCAGCAGAGAGAAGACCGCCAGCUUUCGAGUUGGUAAGGGUGAAAGGGUGCGGUAAGAGCGCACCGGGCCACUGGUAACAGUUGGUUGCAAGGUAAACUCCACCCGGAGCAAGACCAAAUAGGGUUCCAUCUUUUAACUAAGAACGCGUGGCCCACGUGGGAACCGGGUAGGUUGCUUGAGCCUAGGAGCGAUCCUAGGCCUAGACGAAUGAUUAUCUAUUACAGAACCCGGCUUAUAGGCUGACUCAAACU
rfam:Pseudoalteromonas citrea DSM 8771 strain NCIMB 1889 contig177, whole genome shotgun sequence.